rnacentral:lncRNA from 1 species
CUAGGGCUGCACACUGAACUCCAUCAUACUUCCACCCUGGUAGUGACAGCAGAAGCCAUAAACUUCUGAGCACAGUUUUCUCUAAGUCCAAACUGCUGCCUUUUUCAAUUGUACAGCUCGUCUCCCAGGAGCCAAACACUUGUCUGAUUAAAUCCCACUGGCUUGAACUCAUUCUUCUCUCUCUCUCUUUGACAGCACACCCUUACUCCAUCCCACUCAAGAGGCUGCAGACGGACACACACACAAAAAAAAGGCAAUGCCAGCAAGAUGUGGGAAGUGUUAUUCUUUACAUUUGGAAGCACUUUGUAUGAACUCUGCGUUAGCAAACGGUCUGCAUUUGCCUCAGUUCUCGCUCCUGCCUGAAUUUUUUCUUCUUCCAGCAUUAGUACAAAGCUCUGUCACAUCUGCUAGGAUGAGAACAUAAACAGGAGGCAUUACUGCUGCUCUGGAGAUACUGAAAGAAGGAGCUGCAGCAGGAGCUGUUGUUGAGCAGGAACAUCACUGCAUUUGAUGGCUUUGAUUGAGCCUCUGGGAGACAAGAGAGGGAAGAGGAGGAUGGCCUCCCUCCUGUGCCCUGAGAGAGGAGAUGGUGCAAUGCUCACCUCCUGUGUGCCACAGAGACCUGCUCCCUGCUGGGGAGGAUGGGGGAGACUCCAGAGAAAGAACCACUGCCAGCCCUUAGAUUUAACAGGCUAGAGCUGUUAGAGCACUGCUUGGGCCACCAUAUCCACUUUAACAUGAACAACAGGGGCAAGACAAGCAGCUGAAACUGCAGUCCAACCUGCCUGGCAUCACACAUCCAAGGUCACCUGUGAAGGACAGCAGGACAGCUUCAUCCUGGAAUCACCACUGAGGAACCUGAGCAGCACAGGAGCUGCAGCAGCCAAGCACACAACCAAUUUUCUGUACUUGAAAAGUAGAGAAACUCUGCAAGCCCCUUCCUGCUCCAUUUCUACAACCCCAGGCUCUGAGACUGCCUGCGGCACAUUCUGGCAAAGGGCACUGGAGCCCAUCAGCUCCAACCUGGAAAUGCUGCUUUAGGUUUUUACUGCUCCAGGAGAAAACACAGCAGGUUCAGUCAUUUGCUGCUGCCUGAAAGGGGCUCCUGUGCCCCACUCAUGUCCAUUUAGAGCAGACUAGCUCAAAUGAAUGCUCGGUUACAGCAAGGAGCUCUUCAAAAACCACAUGACAGCUGGCUAAGUUCUAUGAAGGGAAUGUUUCCCCACCUAUUCCACCACGUGAUUCCUUCAAGGAUCCCAAAUGAAGUACUUAAGCAAACAGUAAGACAUCAUUUAACAACUCAGUGUGCCUAAAUUGAUUGUUAGGGCAUCAGUGAGUCAUAAACUGCCAAGUUCAAGCAGCUGCUUUUCUCCUUCUAGGAAUGCCUUCUGCCCAACACACAAAUUUGCAUGGAAGAAGUAGUUUGCAAGCCUGUGACACCAAAGCCUCCUGCAGCAGCAGCCACAGCUGCUGAUUUUGCCAACCACCUCUGCUCAGCAGCUGCUUCAGCAAGACAUUCCUCUCACAUCCCAUCUCUGAAGCACCAAGCUCUUGUGCUUUGCUGGCAUGAGGAUGAAAGGUCCAGAUAACACAGCAGUGGAUUUACAGCCACAAUCACAGGCUUUCUGCAGUCUGAAACACACCUGCAAACAGCGUUUCCUCUGAAGUUUCUUGUUAACAGUUAAGACCUGGAAAACUCAAGGAGACAAGUGAUGAGCUGCCUUUGUCUGCUCCUUGGGAACAGCAGGAAAAGGUGGAGAUAAUACAGGAAGCUUUAAAUUGGUUGUCAGUGUUUGCUCUUCACAGAAAGACAUUUCACAAGUCAUUUGGGUGACUGGCACCUUUGGGUCUCCUCUCCAUGUGCUACAGCACCUGGGAAUAAGAGGAGUCUGAGACCAAGCAAAGAUGUGCCAGAUUCCUUAAAAGGCAUCUCACAUGAUAGAAAUGGCUCAAGUACUAACACAAUGAAUGCUUCCUAUACUAUUUCACCUCAUUGCAAGGGAAAAAACCCUCCAGGAUCUCCUGCAAAUCAAUCCUGGGAAUCCAUUUUUCCUCCUUUUCGCCAUAGUAGCUGAGUUUACAGUCCUGGGCCACGCAGAAGUAGCCAACCUGGCAUAGCUGGAGAACAAAACAGAAUUCCACAUGGGUUUUUAAAGGUCUCCUUUACUGACUUGAUCUUAAAUCACAGCACAGGCUGUCAGUGCUUUUGCCUUAAUGUGCCAAGGAAAGCCACUGGUGCUUCACAGUGGGCACAGAGGGAGAUCAUCUCCAUGAAGUCACCAGGGCCACCUUAGAAGGGACACCGCAGCCAAGGGACAAGCUCUACCAACAGGAGAGGGCAGGCAGAGCCAGCUGGCUGAUUUCAGAGCUGCUGCUGACAGCACGUAUGAUUUGUGCAGCCACAACAACAUUUCUGAAGCCACCAGCUGGUAGCAGCUUACCAGCUAUCAACAGCAGCAAGAUGGAGAGCAAAUUCAUCAGCUACCAAUGGCACUGCUGGGGAAGCCCAUGAAUAUUCAUGCUACUAAAACACAAGUGACUUUUUAAUUUUUUUUUUUAACUAUGAAAGAAAAAUUAUUGGCUUCAAGUAACCCCAAAGCUUUAUAAAUGCUAAUACACCAAAACAACAAAGCCAAAGACGACCAAGAGGACUGUUUCCAUCCAUUCUUCUGGACCAGUGCAUUUGUAUUUCCUAUUUUGCCUCCCUUAAGGAGACCCCCACCCACUUCACUGUAUGGAGCAACCAACUGGUAGAAGUCACACACCUACAGCACAAGGAAGACUUGAUUCAAACAGCUUGCACAUAUUUCAGACUGUAGUUUGCCAAACUUUUUCCCUGUUUUUUUAAAAACCCAGCUUGGAAACAACCAACAAAGGUAGGAAUUCACCAAUUUUUUUUGUAAUCCAUGUGGCUGCACACCUGACACACAGGUGUCUACAGCUGGAGCCAUACUGCCAACAUGGACAACAGGCACACCAGUGAUCCACAUAAAUCUAAACUUAACUUUCAGAGCAGGAACCCAUUUUAGCCCCAAAAAAACCAGAGACAAACACUGCCAAAGCACCCACAUGUCUGCUGGGCACAGUGGGAGAGGGUCAGCUCCCAGUAGGCUCUAAAGCCAGUGAUAAUCACCUUCAAAAUGCAGUGAGCAAGCCUGUCUUGAACUGACUCAUGGGCACAGUAAUCCGGAUUUAUUAAGAUUACUUCUU